UGGGGAAUAUUGGGCAAUGGACGCAAGUCUGACCCAGCAACGCCGCGUGAAGGAAGAAGGCUUUCGGGUUGUAAACUUCUUUUGUCAGGGAAGAGUAGAAGACGGUACCUGACGAAUAAGCCACGGCUAACUACGUGCCAGCAGCCGCGGUAAUACGUAGGUGGCAAGCGUUGUCCGGAUUUACUGGGUGUAAAGGGCGUGCAGCCGGGCCGGCAAGUCAGAUGUGAAAUCUGGAGGCUUAACCUCCAAACUGCAUUUGAAACUGUAGGUCUUGAGUACCGGAGAGGUUAUCGGAAUUCCUUGUGUAGCGGUGAAAUGCGUAGAUAUAAGGAAGAACACCAGUGGCGAAGGCGGAUAACUGGACGGCAACUGACGGUGAGGCGCGAAAGCGUGGGGAGCAAACAGG
rnacentral:rRNA from 2 species